rnacentral:rRNA from 1 species
AUUGAACGCUGGCGGCAUGCUUUACACAUGCAAGUCGAACGGCAGCGCGGGCUUCGGCCUGGCGGCGAGUGGCGAACGGGUGAGUAAUACAUCGGAACGUGCCCAGUAGUGGGGGAUAGCUCGGCGAAAGCCGGAGUAAUAUCGCAUACGACCUGAGGGUGAAAGCGGGGGUUCUUCGGACCUCGCGCCUUUGGAGCGGCCGAUGGCUGAUUAGCUAGUUGGUGGGGUAAAGGCCUACCAAGGCGACGAUCUGUAGCUGGUCUGAGAGGACGACCAGCCACACUGGGACUGAGACACGGCCCAGACUCCUACGGGAGGCAGCAGUGGGGAAUGUUGGACAAUGGGCGAAAGCCUGAUCCAGCAAUGCCGCGUGUGUGAUGAAGGCCUUCGGGUUGUAAAGCACUUUUGGCGGGAACGAAAAGGACUGUGCCAAUACCACGGUUCGAUGACGGUACCCGCAGAAUAAGCACCGGCUAACUACGUG